GUUGUCACUGUUCUCAGUCCAAAUGAUAAUAAUAAAGACAUAUAAUAGAAAUAGACCGAUUCGUUAUUGUUCCCCUACACUGCCAAGGACAGUAAGCAAUACUGUAACUUACUUUUUUUUUCGACAUUUUUAAAAUUUCAUGGAACUGAGUUAUAACCAAGAAUAUCUUGUCAAAAGAAUUAAAGGUAUCAAUUCUAAGCUAACACUGUCCCUAAACGAACUUUAUUUCUACUGGAUAGCUCUAUCAGGUCCCAGUACAAUCUCGUACCCAGAGCAAUGCCUGUGCGCGGGCUAUGAAGGCAUUCGCUCUGGGGAAAUUGACAACUGGAACCCCUAAAUUUAGGGGUUCCCGUUAUUUGUCGGCAUGCACGAUUGACAAACGUUAAACCAAUCACAGCACAGGAAAAAUUCAAUUUCCCCAGAGCCAAUGCCAUCCUAGCCCGCGCACAGGCAUUGCUCUGGGUACGAGAUUCGCCCCAUCUUAUUGAUCCAGGAGGAAACCUAAACUAAACUAACUUUAUAUUGGACAGCUCUAUCAGUUCUAAACUGUUUUCCUAGAGAUCCACCAAGUGUCGUCUCUUAAUUGAUCCAGUGUUACUAGAGGUGCCUUCGUUUUUUACAGAACUUGGUCAUGACAGUUGUAUAGGUGCAUACCGCUGGAAGUCUGGUACUGAUUACCGUGGGCGCAGUUGGGAUCAAGACCUGCCCACUUAC